GUUGUCCAAAGUUGGUUUCAAAGUUGACCAAGGUUGGCUACAAAGUCCAAAGGCCUUGUCUAUUGAGGCCAGAAUAAGAAACAAUAGAAGAAUGUCUCAGGUUU